AAAAAAUGUAAGACAACCCUGAACACACCUGGUCUUGUCUGUUCUUGGAAGUCAAGCAGGGUUUAGCCUGGUUAAUACUUGGAUGGGAUAUCCACUGGGAAAAUGGGUGCUGUAGGCC
rfam:Cricetulus griseus cell line CHO-K1, whole genome shotgun sequence.